UACGUAGGGUGCAAGCGUUAAUCGGAAUUACUGGGCGUAAAGCGUGCGCAGCCGGUUGCGUAAGUCAGAUGUGAAAGCCCCGGGCUCAACCUGGGAAUUGCAUUUGAGACUGCGUAGCUAGGGUGCGGAAGAGGGAAGCGGAAUUUCCGGUGUAGCGGUGAAAUGCGUAGAUAUCGGAAGGAACACCAGUGGCGAAAGCGGCUUCCUGGUCCAGCACCGACGUUCAGGCACGAAAGCGUGGGGAGCGAACAGG
rnacentral:rRNA from 1 species